ensembl:ncRNA R11B5.10 ncRNA
UGAGCGUGAUCUCAUAUUUCACGCCGUGCUAAUCACCUUGUAGAAAAAUGAGUGUAGAAAGAAA